rnacentral:rRNA from 1 species
UACGUAGGGUGCGAGCGUUAAUCGGAAUUACUGGGCGUAAAGCGUGCGUAGGCGGUUCGUUAAGUUCGUUGUGAAAGCCCCGGGCUUAACCUGGGAACUGCGCUCGAAACGGGAUGACUAGAGAUCGGGAGAGGAGAGUGGAAUUCCCAGUGUAGAGGUGAAAUUCGUAGAUAUCUGGAGGAACACCGGUGGCGAAGGCGCC